GUACUCACCUCAGCAAUACAUAUACUAAAAUUGGAAUGAUACAGAGAUUAGCAUGGCCUUUACACAAGGAUGACAUGUAAAUUCAGGAAGCAUUCCAUCUUUUU
ensembl:snRNA U6 U6 spliceosomal RNA